AUGAACUACCUUUGGAUUGCUCUGCUAAGCCCGUCCCCUGAGAGGAGUGAGGUGACACUGGGGGCACUGUGUUUUCCUUCACGCUGGAGGUCAGCUCGAGGCUUUGUCAAUUUGACUUUGAUAUUCUUCAUCUCGUUAUCAGAGAAGCAAAUCCUAGAGACUGCACUUACAGUUCCUCUUGAUCAAGCAAGCCAACUUUGUGAGAUGGAGAAUGCAGCGAAUAAUGGUUUUAUAUCUGUCUGUCAACAUUCAGAACUCAGGGAGGAGGCAUGUCAAUUUAUUGCUGCCAGAGGCAACUGAUGUGGGAGGCAUCUUCAGGUGAAGAACCUUUUCCCUGACACCCAACCUGCCCUCCCCUGACACAGCUCCAUGCCGUUCCCUCGGGCCCUGUCGCUGUCACACAGAGCAGAGCUCAGCGCUGCCCCUCCGCUCCCUGUGAGGAGCUGCAGCCGCCAUCAGGCCUCCCCUCAGCUCCUCUGCUCUGUGCUGGGCUGAACCAGCCAAGGGAUCUCAGCCACUCCCUGUUCUCCUUCUCCUCCCGACCCUUCCCCAUCUUUGUAAUCCUCAUGGCUUCACAGCUACAGGCAUAAACAGGAAAUCAUAGUUUGUAUAUGAGUAAAUGGUGUUUCGAAGAACCGUGUUACUUAUGUCACAACAUCCGCGUUAAGUUGAAAAACAGAUUAAUUUAAUGGCACAUGCUGUCAGUAAAAUGAUAAGGAGGAAGAUUCAAGCAACACUAAAAUACGAAUGACUUAAGCAAGCAGACGCCCAGGGAUUGAACUCCAGUCAGAGACCAGUCCCACACAUCAAACUGCAAUCGACAAUGAAAGGCAGAACUUUCAAAGAGAUGUCUAAACCUCUGUGUGACUGCUGCCAACCAAAAUGCAGCUUAGGCUGUUUCCUAUCAUGAUUCUUCUCCUGAAAUUCUGGUGAUAAAUUUUCUGUUGCUUAAUAGAGUAUGCCACAUAAUCUGUCUCCUAGGCACACUGUCAAAAUAAUGUUAAUUAGCAUAUGAAAAUCUAUUUAAUAAAAUAUAUUUAAAAAAAAAAAAAAAAAAAAAA
rnacentral:lncRNA from 1 species